GACAGAGGGUGCAACGUUGUUCGGAAUUACUGGGCGUAAAGCGCGCGUAGGCGGAUCACUAAGUCAGGGGUGAAAUCCCGAGGCUUAACCUCGGAACUGCCUUUGAUACUGGAGAUCUGGAGAUCGGGAGAGGUUGGUGGAAUUCCGAGUGUAGAGGUGAAAUUCGUAGAUAUUCGGAGGAACACCAGAAGCGAAGGCGGCCAACUGGCCCGAUACUGACGCUGAGGCGCGAAAGCGUGGGGAGCAAACAGG
rnacentral:rRNA from 1 species